rnacentral:rRNA from 1 species
UUCGGACAACGGAUAGGAAUCCUUAGUGGCGGACGGGUGAGUAACGCGUGAGGAACCCGCCUUGGAGAGGGGAAUAACACAGAGAAAUUUGUGCUAAUACCGCAUGAUGCAGUUGGGUCGCAUGGCUCUGACUGCCAAAGAUUUAUCGCUCUGAGAUGGCCUCGCGUCUGAUUAGCUUGUUGGCAGGGUAACGGCCUACCAAGGCGACGAUCAGUAGCCGGACUGAGAGGUUGACCGGCCACAUUGGGACUGAGACACGGCCCAGACUCCUACGGGAGGCAGCAGUGGGGAAUAUUGGGCAAUGGGCGCAAGCCUGACCCAGCAACGCCGCGUGAAGGAAGAAGGCUUUCGGGUUGUAAACUUCUUUUAUGAGGGACGAAGGAAGUGACGGUACCUCAUGAAUAAGCUCCGGCUAACUACGUGCCAGCAGCCGCGGUAAUACGUAGGGAGCGAGCGUUAUCCGGAUUUACUGGGUGUAAAGGGCGUGUAGGCGGGGAAGCAAGUCAGAUGUGAAAACCAGUGGCUCAACCACUGGCCUGCAUUUGAAACUGUGUGGCUUGAGUGAUGGAGAGGCAGGCGG